rnacentral:tRNA from 1 species
UUCCUAGUAGCUCAGUGGUAGAGUCGCUCUGUAAUUCGUGUAUAUUGAUGUAAUAUUCGUAUUGCUAAAUAUUCGUACAUGUUAAGGAAGGUCAUCGGUUCGAAUCCGAUCUAGGAAA